GCGCCUGUGAAGGAAGAAUAGAAGAGAGCUAUUAAACUACAAGGAAAAAGAGAAGAACAGAACACAUCUGUAGCCAAGUCCUUUUUGUUGACAGGAAUGGAGCAAAAAUGAAAUUUUGAUUAACGUAUGCCAACAAAAAAGUAAUAAAGGACAAAGAAAAAAAAGUGUGAAGAGGAAGUGAUAUUGAUCCCGUUUCAUAAAGAAAAUACGUUUGAAUCCAGCCAUCAAGUGACAAAUUGGUUGAUGGCUCAAAAUGGAGAUGAGCAUAAUCCCUACCCUGACUGUAUGUAGACCAAGAAACAAAUAUCCAUCACUGUACAAAAAUAUUUUCCUAACAAUUAAACUUGAAGAACCACAAAAAGAAGAAAGGUUCAACUAAAGCAACUGAAUCAGAGCAGUGAAGCAGAAAGUCUACUCUGAACUAUCUGAUAAAUUAAUCUACAAAUCCCACUACAUUCAGAAGGACUGCAUUGGAACAGGAUAUGGAGAAGUGAUAUGCAUUCAGACAGGCAGGCCUCUGACAUCACAUGGCAGUGCUGGUGGAGCCUGAUUUCAUUUUUUUGAUGUGCAUUUAGUUUUCAGAAAUCUGGGAAGCAUUAUUUCAGUUUGUAUGGGUUUGACACCAUAGAGCCAACGUGUUUCUGUACUUGAUGUACAUUUCAACAGACCCCUUUAUAAGCAAAAUGGCCAUUUACAGAACUAAUAUUAAAGCAAAAGCAAUUUCCUAAAAGAUUUGUUUCAACAAUCAUUAAAAAGAAAGAAAGAGUGGUAAUUAUCACACUGCAUUUU